rnacentral:lncRNA from 10 species
AGGUUAUUAAACAGUUAAGAUAUAUAAAAAAGAUAAGCUGUCAUAGUGGCAGAACAAGUGGUACUUGAUUGUGAACAAAUAAAAGGAAGGCUAGAUUACAAAUAGUGAUUGUUAUUAUACAACAGUUUCUAUAGUAUCCAAAAACAAUUGGAGACAGUCUUCUGUGAGUACAAGAAGCAUUUCUUCUAAGACGAAUCACAAGUAUUCUUUUUUAACUUACUUUAUCAAAUAUCUUGUCCCCUUAUUAUCAACUGCAUUAUUUCAAAUAAUACAAAUAUGUCUUCAUUAAUUUAUUUAACAAGUAUUUACUGGGUGAACUAUUGUUUCAGAUACUCCAGAUACAGGAGUGAACAAACCAUACUAAAUCCCUGUCCAAUGGAGUUUAGAGUCAUUUUUGUGGAGAGAGACAGGACAUUAAAAUGUCCAUUACUGAUUCAUCCAUCAAUCCUUCCAUCUAUACAAUUAUUUUGGAUAGUUACAUGUGACGAUGACAGAAGAAAAUGACACUGCAUAAUAAGACAAAGAGUAAAAAUAAGUAGCUUAAGCGUUGGAAACUGUGAAAGGCACAUAAGGAAUAUUUCUCUGUGGGGAUGACUUGAAAAUGAUGAAUCGACUGCAGUGAGGCAAAAUGGAAUGAGGAAACCAGCCAGAAGAUGUGCUGUCUUUCGUCCUGUGUGCACCUUUCUCCACUGCACGUGUGCUUUGGAAUACUGACUGGCAAAGACUGUAUGAAUCAGGAGGCCCCCUUGCCCUGUGACUUCCUGUUGAGUCUAGCCAAUGAGGAUACUGAUAGGAAAUCAGAGUGAAGCAGCAGAGUGAGGUUCUGAUUGAUGCAGAGGCUGUUGAAGUAGACCACACGAUUAAAGCAAGAGAGGGAGAUAGAAGUGGAGAUGGCGGCAACCUAUUAUACCUGGAUAUAUUUGGUAUACAAACAAAGAGACUCAAUGAUGAAUUGAACAAUGAAUCUGAAGGAAAAAGGAGAAAGAAAACACAAGUGUGCAGGUGUCAAUUGUAUACCAUCAUAGUACCAUCAAAAGAAGUAGGAAAUAGUGGAGAUGAAGCAGGUUGAUAUGAUUUGGCUGCUUCCCCACCCAAAUCUUACCUUGACUUGUAGUUCCCAUAAUCCCCACAUGUGGGGGGAGGAAGCCUUUAGGAGGUGAUUUAAUCAUGGGGUGGUUACCCGCAUGCUGUUCUCAUGAUAAUGAGUGAGUUCUCACAAGAUUUAACGUCUUUAUAAGGAACUUUUUCCCCUUUUACUUGGCACUUCUUCUUGCUGUUGCCAUGUGAAGAAGGACAUGUUUGCUACUCCUUCCACCAUGAUUGUAAGUUUCCCGAGACCUCCCCAGCCAUGCUGAACUGUGAGUCAAUAAAGCCUCUUUCCUUUAUAAAUUACAGAGUCUCAGUUAUGUCUUUAUUUGCAAGAUGAGAAUGGACUAAUACACUGGUGAUAAAUUUGAUGGAACUAAAAUUUUAUUUUGAGCAUGUUACAUUUUCUCCUUUCUGCUCUUGUCCUCCAUAGGCAAAGAUUUAAAGGCGACAGAAAAUGGUGGGAGGAGGCCAGGCUGAAGAAAAUGGACACUGAGCCAUGUUGUUAAGGUCAAUAUUCAGUUUUGAGCCAGGUAUGGAGCUCAGGAAAGAAGUCUGUGCUAUAUAUAUAAAUUUGGGGGUUAUCAGCAUGUAAAUGAUAUUUCAAGCCUUAAGACUGGAUACAAUCACCUAUGAUGCGAGCUACUCCCUAAAAUACAUCUCCCCCAAAACUGUAUCUGUUUCCUUGGUCCACUGACAUUUUUAAAUACAUAUUUUGUUUCAUAUAUGUCAGGGACAUCAGAACUACAGAUCUCUAUUUAUGGUGACUAAGUACCAAAUGAUUUAUAUUUUUAUUAACUCUGCUAUCUCUCCUGAAAUUAUUACAAACAGCCUUUCUUCCCACACUCUUGCUUACCUGAACUCUUCAGUUUUAUAGGAGCUACUAUAUUCCUUCACCCCCUUUCUUACAUAUUCUUCACCUUCUCUCCCUCUCUAUUUCUGUUCAAAGACUAUUCUCUCAGUUGUCAAAUGUCCUUAGUGCUCUACACAAUACACAAUGUUUCUGGUACUGCCAUUUCU